rnacentral:rRNA from 1 species
CCGCAUGGCUCAGGGGGAAAAGGAGCAAUUCGCUUCAGGAUGGAUUCGCGUCCAAUUAGCUAGAUGGUGAGGUAAUGGCCCACCAUGGCGACGAUUGGUAGCCGGACUGAGAGGUUGACGGGCCACAUUGGGACUGAGACACGGCCCAGACUCCUACGGGAGGCAGCAGUGGGGAAUAUUGCACAAUGGGGGAAACCCUGAUGCAGCGACGCCGCGUGGAGGAAGAAGGUCUUCGGAUUGUAAACUCCUGUCGUUGGGGACGAUAAUGACGGUACCCAACAAGAAAGCCACGGCUAACUACGUGCCAGCAGCCGCGGUAAAACGUAGGUGGCAAGCGUUGUCCGGAAUUACUGGGUGUAAAGGGAGCGCAGGCGGAAGGACAAGUUGGAAGUGAAACCCACGGGCUCAACCCGUGAACUGCUUUCAAAACUGUUUUUCUUGAGUGGUGUAGAGGUAGGCGGAAUUCCCGGUGUAGCGGUGGAAUGCGUAGAUAUCGGGAGGAACACCAGUGGCGAAGGCGGCCUACUGGGCACUAACUGACGCUGAGGCUCGAAAGCAUGGGUAGCAAACAGGAUUAGAUACCCUGGUAGUCCAUGCCGUAAACGAUGAUUACUAGGUGUGGGAGGAUUGACCCCUUCCGUGCCGCAGUUAACACAAUAAGUAAUCCACCUGGGGAGUA